rnacentral:rRNA from 1 species
UACGUAGGGACCAAGCGUUGUUCGGAUUUACUGGGCGUAAAGGGCGCGUAGGCGGCGCGGUAAGUCACUUGUGAAAUCUCUGAGCUUAACUCAGAACGGCCAAGUGAUACUGCAGUGCUAGAGUGUGGAAGGGGCAAUCGGAAUUCUUGGUGUAGCGGUGAAAUGCGUAGAUAUUAGGAGGAACACCGGUGGCGAAGGCGCCGCUCUGGGCCGAAACUGACGCUGAGGAGCGAAAGCGUGGGUAGCAAACAGG